rnacentral:rRNA from 1 species
GACGAACGCUGGCGGCGUGCUUAACACAUGCAAGUCGAACGGAAAGGCCCUGCUUUUGUGGGGUGCUCGAGUGGCGAACGGGUGAGUAACACGUGAGUAACCUGCCCUUGACUUUGGGAUAACUUCAGGAAACUGGGGCUAAUACCGGAUAGGAGCUCCUGCUGCAUGAUGGGGGUUGGAAAGUUUCGGCGGUUGGGGAUGGACUCGCGGCUUAUCAGCUUGUUGGUGGGGUAGUGGCUUACCAAGGCUUUGACGGGUAGCCGGCCUGAGAGGGUGACCGGCCACAUUGGGACUGAGAUACGGCCCAGACUCCUACGGGAGGCAGCAGUGGGGAAUAUUGCACAAUGGGCGGAAGCCUGAUGCAGCAACGCCGCGUGCGGGAUGGCGGCCUUCGGGUUGUAAACCGCUUUCGCCUGUGACGAAGCGUGAGUGACGGUAAUGGGUAAAGAAGCACCGGCUAACUACGUG